GAUGAAGAACGUAUCGAAAUGCGAUAAGUAAUGUGAAUUGCAGAAUUCAGUGAAUCAUCGAAUCUUUGAACGCACAUUGCGCCCGCCAGUAUUCUGGCGGGCAUGCCUGUCCGAGCGUCAUUUCAACCCUCGAACCCCUCCGGGGGGUCGGCGUUGGGGAUCGGCCCUGCCUCUUGGCGGUGGCCGUCUCCGAAAUACAGUGGCGGUCUCGCCGCAGCCUCUCCUGCGCAGUAGUUUGCACACUCGCAUCGGGAGCGCGGCGCGUCCACAGCCGUUAAACACCCAACUUCUGAAAUGUUGACCUCGGAUCAGGUAGGAAUACCCGCUGAACUUAAGCAUAUCAAUAAGCGGAGGA
rnacentral:misc_RNA from 1 species